UACGAACUGUGCGAACGUUAUUCGGAAUCACUGGGCUUACAGGGUGCGUAGGCGGCUAUUCCGGUCAGGUGUGAAAGCCCCCGGCUCAACCGGGGAACUGCGCUUGAAACCGAGUGGCUCGAGUCAGCUAGAGGUACACGGAACUUCCAGUGGAGCGGUGAAAUGUGUUGAUAUUGGAAGGAACACCGGAGGCGAAAGCGGUGUACUGGGGCUGGUCUGACGCUGAGGCACGAAAGCCAGGGGAGCGAACGGG
rnacentral:rRNA from 1 species